UAAGCAAAUAAUAAAGAAGUAACAAAUUAUGUUAAGGAUUGUGUCAUUCGAAUUGUAGUCUAACAAACAGCUUCUUAGCUAAAAAAUGUUAAUCGGAAGAAGCAAAAGUGGAUGGCGUGGUGCCAAUAAGAUGGUAUCAAUAUGAUCUAGUCUCAAUUAAGUUAGUUGCAGGUAAGUGUUUUAAAAAAGUUUUACCAUUUAUUUUUAGACUAAUUUUUAAAUGUAUUGUGCUUGAAGAACGUUGUUUAUUACAUAUUAAAUUUAAAUAUUUAUUUUCAGACGAAAAAUAAAAUCUGUAAACAAUUUCUCUCUAUAUUUACUUGUUCAAGCGAACGAUAGAAAAAAAGAAGCAUUCAAAAUGUUCGCAAAAUUUUUGGUUCAGAUACAAAAAACCAAGUGAAAAUGAUACUAAAAAGACUGUUUACCGUUUAACUCCUGUCCCAAUCUAACCUAGUGGGUUCAAAAAGAAGGGACCGCGCUGGAAACAUGAAUGGAUUAAAAGGAUCAGCCCUUUUUGAAUUAAUAGUCGAAGUGGUAACCAGCUAGAAGUCGUAACCUGCUCGUAUGGAAGGAUUUCUCGACUUGAAAUUGUUAAUUUUAUUCAAUAACGCCAAUAAACAGAGCUCGCUCAAGAAACAGAAAAGAAAGAGAAAGAUGAAAAAAUAUUCUGUUGAACAAUACUAUUGUUUUAUUUAUAAAUUAU
rnacentral:lncRNA from 1 species